CAGUAGUGUAUUAUAACGUUGUUGCAGUUAAAAAGCUCGUAGUCGGAAUGAAAGUUGAUGUUUUGGUGCGGCGGGCGUGCAGUCCGCAGCAAUGUGGGGAUCCGCAAGGAUUGAGACGGAUGUCUGGCGCACCUAUUUAUAGAUGUCGACGAAUGAUUGUUUACACCGCAACGUCUGUUUAUUCAUUUAGAUGGGCGCUCAAGAGGUUUUCUGCCGGGUGGUGGGGAGCUGUGCGGUGUAGAAGGUCACCUUGAGUAAAGUAGAGCGUUCAAAGCAGGUUUUUUUGUAACCAUUGUAUAAUUCAGCAUGGGAUGACGUAAUAUGUUCUUGCCGCUGUGCAGCGGCCGCGGUUGCGCGCGGCGGUGGGAAAAUGAUUGAUAGGGAUGACUGGGGACAUUCGUAUUGAGAGGCUAGAGGUGAAAUUCAGUGAUUCUUUCAAGACGAACAUAAGCGAAAGCAUCUGUCAAGGGCGUUUUCGUUG
rnacentral:rRNA from 1 species